UGCCGAGCCAUGCCUGCCCCUCCUGGCCCCCCCCCAGGGGAAGAUGCUGAAAGUGGGGAGAUGGCAGCUGGGGGAGCAGAAAGGCACGGGGCUUCCUCUCAUUGAGGAAGGGGAGGCCACGUUUCCUGCCUUGAUAAUUUGGGGCCGUAAAUGCACAUGCCGGAGCUGGGGCACGGCAUGCCCCUGGGCGGCUGAGCCGCACUGAGCUGCCAUGGGGAACUUGGGCCAGGCAUCAGGAGCAGAGCCAGGCACGAGUCCAGCCAGGUGCUGGCCUCGGAGGUGCUGCACUCCGGGAUUUUCCUCUAGCUUUACAUCUGACGGCAUCACAGAACGAAAAGCAAAUUCCCCCAUGGAAGAGGCGAGCCUGGCAAGCCCAUCGCUCAGAUGCUGCAAAGGCAAUAACCCUGAAAUGUCACAGCUGCAGAUUUGUAUCACCCAGACGAGAUGGUGUGCUUAAAGAAGGAAUCGCUCAACAUCUAAAUAUUAGGAACAGGGAACAAAUCUGGGGAGCAGAACGCAUGAUGGUCAAGAAGUCAGCCACCUCUGGGAGCUGCUGCAGCGGCAUGGAGCGCUUCUGAAACAGCAAAUUCAGCCAGGGUCGUCCUUGGCUGCGACGGGAUUUUUCCCUUGUUU